GCACCUGUGAGUGAGCCAAAUACUAGGUGACCUGUGGGGAAUGCAAGCGUAAGACCAGGGGCCUUGAGUUGACACAAACUGAAACCACAUGAAAAGCAAGGUGAGACACAUCAAGGCUGCCCUCCUGUCCUCCUGGCUGUAAACGCAACCGAUUUCAGAGAUCAUAACCAAGUCUGUGACCUGCAGACCAGGCUGAGUAAGCUUCCUGGCAGACUAUUCUCAAAGGCAAGUUGUCUUGAUGACGAUUACCCUCCAAUGGACUGCUACUCAGAAGUAUAUGGCAUAUUUCCAGCUUAUCUCCAUUCAUUCAUAGCUUUAAGACACUAUACACAGAGAAGCUUUAAGUCCGCCUUGGAAUGGGAUGUCGAAUGAACAGCUGU